rnacentral:lncRNA from 1 species
CCCCGCCCCGCCCCGCGCCGCCGCCCCCAACCCCUAGGCUGAGCCGGAGGGAGGGACCCAGAAGGGAGGGAGGCGGAAGGGAGGCCAAAAAGGAGGGGGCCACGUGAAAGAGGCCGGCCGACCGAGACCGAGGGAGACUGAGCGGAGCGCACGCCCUGGAAGGAGAGAGCCGGAGAGUUCGGGAGGCAAGACCCCCAGAGACGAGAGUCGGAGGGAUCAAACGACACAGAUGGAGUCUUGCUCUGUCACCCAGACUGGGUACAGUGGCACGAUCUCGGCUCACUACAAACUCCACCUCCUGGGUUCAAGAGAUUCUCCUACCUCAGCCUCCCGAGUAGCUGGGACUACAGCUCUGGAGUCUGGAAGUUGAAGAUCAAGGCCCAGCUGCUUGGGUUCCUGAAGUAAGCUGCCAUUUCUGAGGUCUAUGGAGAGGACCACGAGGCAAAGAAUUGAGGGUGGCCUUUAGAAGCUGACAGCAGCCCAUUGCUGAUAGUCAGCAAGAAAAUGGUGACCUGUCUAUAGCUGCAAGGAGAUGAAUUCUGCCAAUAACUUGAGGGCACAUGGAAGUGGAUCUUUUCCCAGUUGAGCUUCUGAUAAGAUUGUAGCCCUGGCCAGUACUUGAAUUGCAAUCUGUUGACAGAAACUGUGACAGGACUGAUGAUGCACAGAAACAGAUAAUAAACGUGUGGUGUUUUAAGCCAUUAAGUCUGUGGUACUCAGCAAAGCUGUCUAAGAUAUGUUACGUAAAAAAUAAGUUAUGAAACAGUACGUAUGAUAUGAUCUUAUUUUAAAGUAAACUUAUAUUUAAAUAAAUGUUCAUAGAAAAAUGUCUUGGACAAUGUAAACCACUAGGUGUAUUCCUCAUACUUUUCUGCCUUUCUUGAAACUUAUCUUCAAUGAACAUGUAUAUUAUAAAGAUAGAUGUAUUUUCAUUUUUAAAGAAAAAACAAUAUCCAAAACCUUGGGAAGAGAGUUUAUCUGUGAUGUGUAAUUUUUGUGUCAUAAUGAUGCUACAGUUUUAAGCCCUUAGAAAUUUAGAAAACUAAAGAAUUUAUGUAUAACUAAAUAAUUUAUGUAUAAAUAAUACAGUGAUUUUUUUUUCCAC